UGCUCGUGAUGCUGGCAAAAUGGUUUUCUUUACCCCGUCUUGAAACACGGACCAAGGAGUCUAACAUAUGUGCAAGUACAAAGGUGGCAAACCUGCGUGCAUAAUGAAAGUAACAGUGGUUGGAUCCCUUCGGGGUGCAC
rnacentral:rRNA from 14 species